AGCAGCCGCGGUAAUUCCAGCUCCAAUAGCGUAUAUUAAAGUUGUUGCAGUUAAAAAGCUCGUAGUUGAAUUUCGGGAUCAAUAUGUUGGUCGUGCCUCGGUACGCACUGGCAUCGUUGAUUUCUACCUUCUGAUGAAUCAUGAUGCCAUUAAUUUGGUGUCAUGGGGAAUCAGGACUGUUACUUUGAAAAAUUAGAGUGUUUAGAGCAGGCUCACGCUUGAAUACAUUAGCAUGGAAUAAUGAAAUAGGACGUUUGAUUCUAUUUUGUUGGUUUCUAGGAUCGACGUAAUGAUUAAUAGGGAUAGUUGGGGGCAUUAGUAUUCAAUUGUCAGAGGUGAAAUUCUUGGAUUUAUUGAAGACUAACUACUGCGAAAGCAUUUGCCAAGGAUGUUUUCAUUAAUCAAGAACGAAAGUUAGGGGAUCGAAGACGAUCAGAUACCGUCGUAGUCUUAACCAUAAACUAUGCCGACUAGGGAUCGGAUGAUGUUAAUUUAU
rnacentral:rRNA from 1 species